rnacentral:rRNA from 1 species
UACGUAGGGUGCAAGCGUUAUCCGGAAUUAUUGGGCGUAAAGAGCUCGUAGGCGGUUUGUCGCGUCUGCUGUGAAAACCGGAGGCUCAACCUCCGGCCUGCAGUGGGUACGGGCAAACUAGAGUGCGGUAGGGGAGAUUGGAAUUCCUGGUGUAGCGGUGGAAUGCGCAGAUAUCAGGAGGAACACCGAUGGCGAAGGCAGGUCUCUGGGCAUUAACUGACGCUGAGGAGCGAAAGCAUGGGGAGCGAACAGG